rnacentral:rRNA from 1 species
GACGUAGGAGGCGAGCGUUAUCCGGAUUCACUGGGCGUAAAGCGCAUGUAGGCGGUUGCACAAGUCCGUUGUUAAAGCCCCUGGCUCAACUGGGGGAGGUCAAUGGAGACUGUGCGACUUGAGGGCAAUAGAGGCACGUGGAACUCCCGGUGUAGCGGUGGAAUGCGUAGAGAUCGGGAAGAACACCAGUGGCGAAGGCGACGUGCUGGGUUGCACCUGACGCUGAGAUGCGAAAGUGUGGGAGCAAACGGG